GAAAUGCAAAACCUCUUAUAUGCCUAAUUUUACGCGCAAUGUUGUGCGGAAAAUCAGGCCUGUGCCCUGUGUUGCUGUCAGUUGUGACAGUUCCCAGAUGGGGUCUGCUACUGUAUGUGAGAUUGAGUUUCUCACAAAAAAAACUCCCUCUCCAUCCAAACCGUCCUCAAAAACCUUCUCCAGGCACAGGUCGGUGCGCCGGCUUCCAGGACAGAGGCUAGGUUGUCUUGUCGAAAAGCCCUGAGUGCUCGGCAUGAAAGGAACCGCUCGGGGUCUCUGUAUAGCCGAGGCCAUUAUCAGUGGAUGGGGAAUCGACACGGGCUGUUGGAACCCUGAUGGUAUUUCUUCCUAUUAGAGGUCGUGGAUAUAACGAACCUUAUCUAAUCCAUGCUUUCCGAAAGGGUUCACCGCAUUCCCCCUAACUGGUGCAGAGCCGGUGGACCCAUAUGCAAUCUGCCAUAUUGAACGGGCACUAAGUUGGAUCUAUGACUACCCUGUAUUUUCUGUGCACGUCAGUCCAGAUCCAGUGAGCAACCAAACAACUGCUUUCGAGCCAACCAACCAACCAGUCAGAAGUGAAACAGUCAAACGGAAGACUAUGGAACCAUGGAGAUGCGGCAAGACCAGCAUAUCACCAUUCCGUCCAUAAUAAUCAACUCGAAUAUGUAGAAUAUAAAUUCAAAAUUAAUUGUAUUUUUUUUUGUCAACGACCUACACAAAAUACUGUAACAUUUGUUUAAAAAAUGUAUGGAAAAUAAAACACUAAUGUAUUUUG